rnacentral:rRNA from 1 species
UACGUAGGGGGCAAGCGUUGUCCGGAUUUAUUGGGCGUAAAGAGCGUGUAGGCGGCUAGGUAGGUCCGUUGUGAAAACUCGAGGCUCAACCUCGAGACGCCGGUGGAAACCAUCUAGCUAGAGUCCGGAAGAGGAGAAUGGAAUUCCCGGUGUAGCGGUGAAAUGCGCAGAUAUCGGGAAGAACACCCGUGGCGAAUGCGGUUCUCUGGGACGGUACUGACGCUGAGACGCGAAAGCGUGGGGAGCGAACAGG